CUUUAUGGUGGCCAUGCGCAGGGCGCCUUCGGGCGCGCCGGUUUUCUUGCACCUCCCGGUCUACCAACCUGUGCAUGGCCACCACCCUU
rnacentral:antisense_RNA from 1 species